UGAUAGGAGAUCUAGCUAGCAAAACCCUUAGGAGAAAUACUGAGAUUGUCCCUCUUUACUUUCCUAGUCGCAGACUCAUAGAGGUAAGGGUGACCUUCAGGACAGGAGAUGGGGACAGUGUGAGCUUGGGUACUCUUCCAUGCAAAAGCUAAGCCAGCCCCUAAACUAUACAGGUGCUGUGCAAAGGUAGAGGUGAAUAACUGUCAGCUCUCAAUAAAAUGAGACUUCACAGACUAAUUAGGAAAUUGUAUAGAACUAGACACAGUCACAAACAGGAGGGUGCAGUGAACCUGUCUCCAUGGAAAGAAAAUCUGCUUGACUAUGCCAGCAUGGACCAUGGUGCACUCAGUCUCUGUGGCCAGCUGAGGAUAUGGAUCUCACAGGACUUUGCAAUAUAUACCAAUGCUCAGCAUCAAUA
rnacentral:lncRNA from 1 species